rnacentral:sRNA from 1 species
UACUAGACGGAGUACUUUUGUAUGGUAUUUUGUAGGAUUUCAUAUGACUUUCUCCAUUGCACCACUUCGAAAUUACAAGAAAACGUGCUAGAAAUGGCGCACAAGGAGGAUUCCCAUAUGGAACAAGGAACAGUAAAAUGGUUUAACGCAGAUAAAGGUUUUGGAUUUAUUAACCGUCAAGAUGGUAGCGAUGUAUUCGUACACUUCUCUGCGAUUCAAACAGAAGGCUUCAAGACUUUAGAAGAAGGUCAAGCCGUUUCCUUCGAUGUUGAAGAAGGUCAACGUGGCUUACAAGCUGUUAACGUUGUAAAAGACUAAAAUAGGUACCGCGGAGUUUCGGCUUCGCGGUUUUUU